GACUCUCGGCAACGGAUAUCUCGGCUCUCGCAUCGAUGAAGAACGCAGCAAAAUGCGAUACUUGGUUUGAAUUGCAGAAUCCCGUGAAUCAUCGAGUUUUUGAACGCAAGUUGCGCCCGAAGCCUUUCGGCCGAGGGCACGCCUGCCUGGGUGUCA
rfam:Ricinus communis cultivar Hale ctg_1100012299465, whole genome shotgun sequence.